GACGAACGCUGGCGGCGUGCUUAACACAUGCAAGUCGUACGGUAAGGCCCUUUCGGGGGUACACGAGUGGCGAACGGGUGAGUAACACGUGAGUAACCUGCCCACAACUUUGGGAUAACGCUAGGAAACUGGUGCUAAUACUGGAUAUGUGCUCCUGCUGCAUGGUGGGGGUUGGAAAGCUCCGGCGGUUGUGGAUGGACUCGCGGCCUAUCAGCUUGUUGGUGGGGUAGUGGCCUACCAAGGCGGCGACGGGUAGCCGGCCUGAGAGGGUGACCGGCCACCGUUGGACUGAGAUACGGCCCAGACUCCCACGGGGGGCAGCAGUGGGGAAUAUUUCACAAUGGGCGCCAGCCUGAUGCAGCAACGCCGCGUGCGGGAUGACGGGCUUCGGGUUGGAAACCGCUUUCAGCAGGGACGAAGCUUUUUGUGACGGUACCUGCAGAAGAAGCACCGGCUAACUACGUG
rnacentral:rRNA from 1 species